rnacentral:rRNA from 1 species
AUUGAACGCUGGCGGCAUGCUUUACACAUGCAAGUCGAACGGCAGCACGGGGGCAACCCUGGUGGCGAGUGGCGAACGGGUGAGUAAUGCAUCGGAACGUGCCCUGUCGUGGGGGAUAACACAUCGAAAGAUGUGCUAAUACCGCAUACGACCUGAGGGUGAAAGCGGGGGACCGUAAGGCCUCGCGCGAUAGGAGCGGCCGAUGUCUGAUUAGCUAGUUGGUGGGGUAAAGGCCUACCAAGGCGACGAUCAGUAGCUGGUCUGAGAGGACGACCAGCCACACUGGGACUGAGAAACGGCACAGACGCCUACGGGAGGCAGCAGUGGGGAAUUUUGGACAAUGGGGGCAACCCUGAUCCAGCCAUGCCGCGUGCGGGAAGAAGGCCUUCGGGUUGUAAACCGCUUUUGGCAGGAACGAAACGGUGCGGGCGAAUACCCUGUGCUAAUGACGGUACCUGCAGAAUAAGCACCGGCUAACUACGUGCCAGCAGCCGCGGUAAAAC